CACAGAGUUUCUCCCCUUUGCUCCAGUACAAAUGGUAACAGCAAGUUGUCAUCUGAGUGACCUGAAUUCAGGGUCAGCUGACGCAAGGACUACCCUACUUGACCCUCAGCAGACGUGAAGGAGUAUUUGUAUGCCAAAGUCCCUUAAAUGCAUAGUGAGGGACAUGUUCUUCUACUACAUACACCCUGACCUGGCACCAACCAAGUAGGAGAGCUCUAUAUGACCCGAGAGAUGCGAGCAUACCCAUUUAUACCUCUCCGGUAGGUGGAAUUUCCUUAUCAGCAAGCUGGAAAAACUCAAAGCUACUGAGUGCUCUGUGCGUGGGGAGAGCAGCAAUCCACAAAGAUGGACUAAUUCCAGAGGAAGUCAAGCGAAGACUGUGUCACAACUAUUAACCCAAUUUUAAAGAUGCUCCAAACUGCUGCCAGCAUGUACUUUAUAUAAUGGUGCCUUUCUUACUGCAGCAGUCCUUUCAAGAAACGACCUCCCAAGAAAUACUGGAAAACUUUCCCAUGGAAAAAAAAAAAUAAUAACCAAUAAAAAAAACAAUAACAACAAACCAAGCAGCCAACAGCUGAAAUCCUCCUCAAAGUAGCAUUCCAGCCAUAAAUAGUCAUGAUUCUCAAAAGGACAGGAAACAAACAGUGACCGAAGUUUGGACUGCUGAUCUUCAACAUCUAUACCAGUGAUAUAGAUAAUGGGAUUGAGUACAUCUUCAGCAGUUUUCUGAUGACAUCAAGCUGAGUGGUGCAGUUGAUAUGACAGAAGGAAAGGAUACCAUCCAAAGGGACCUGGACAGACUGGAGAGGUGGGCCCACAUGAGCUAAUGAACAAGGCCAAGUGUAGAGUGUUGGGUUGGAGUAAUCUCAGAUAUGUGUACGGAAUGGGAGAAGAAUUCAUUGAGAACAGCCUUGGACAGAAGGAGCUGGGAGUUAUGAUGGAUGACGAGCUGGAUAUGAGGCAGCAGUGCACACUUGUAGCCAAGAAGACCAACAGUAUCCUGGGCUACAUAAAAUAGGUGUGGCAGUGAGCAGGGAGGGGAUUGUCCCCCACUUCUCUGCUCUUGUGAGGCAUCUGUCUGGAUGGAGUACCAUGUCCACACCUGGGGCCCCCAGCAAAAGAAGGAUGAAGAUCUGUGGGAGAGGAUCCAAAAGAAGGUCACAAAGAUGUUCAGAGAGGUGGAGCACUUCUGAUACGAAGAAGGAUUAGAGUGAGAUGUGCUUAGCUUGGAGAAGAGAAGGAUCUGGGAAGACCUCAUAGAAACCUAAUACUUGAGGGGAGCUUAUAAGCAGAGGGGAGCUUAUAAGCAGAAGGGAGGUGCAAUUUUUGAUGUGAUUGGAAAGGGAGAAAUGGCUUUAAACUAAAAGAGGGGAAAUUUAAGUUGGAUGUUAGGAAGAAAUUCUUUCCUCAGAGGGUGGUGAGACCGUGGCACAGGUUGCCUGGAGAAGCUGUGGAUGCCCCAUUCCUGGAGUCAGCCAAGGCUAGGCGCCCUGAGAAGCCUGGUUUAGUGGCUGGCAACCUUUCCCAUGGCAGGGGGAUUAGAGAUUAAUGACUUUUAACCUUCCAACCUAAGCCAUUCUAUGAUCCUAUGCUUUUAUGAUUUUAUUAAGUGAAUCCAAAUGUAAAGAACAAAACUGAGGGCCUUCAUUUUGGCCUUCAGUUGAAGCCACAGUGGGGUACGCAGAUCCCUAAUUUCAUAGUAUCUCUGAUCUUCACACUUUAUAAGUAGCAUUUUAGAACACAGGCUUGAUUCAUUUUCUGAUUUAGAUCUCUACAGGAGUAUACACUGAAAAAAACAAGUACAAAGCUUGGGAGUUUCUCUUUAUGGUAUCUGUUUUCAAUGAACUGUUUAUGUUCUACACUGGGAUUAUGGCUUUAUGUGCUAUCAACUUCUUGGUCUGUUAGCCAAACCUCUCAAAGCCAUAUGAAUGUUGAGGUAUUUUUGGACUUUUGUUUUGUUUUGUUUUGUUUUGUUUUUUCCCCUGCAGAUUAUUCAGCUAUUAAUUUUUUCUUUCUUUUUUUUUUUUCCCACAUACUGUUAUGCUAAAAAAAACCAAACAAGUUGAACUCAUUGUGUUUCUUUUUAUCAUCAUCUCUUAAUUUUAGAUAAAUGUAGGCAUUAGAGAAUGAGAAAACAAGAUAUUUUGACUUGAAAACAUAAAACUUUAUGAUCAAAGCUGCUUUUUUUAGGGUAAAAUGUCACAGGGAUCUAAUUAGGAUAAAGAAUUUAAACUGUCAUUGUAAAUUGGAGUAGAGAGCUUUGUGUAUGGGCUUCAUGUAUUCAGGGCUACUUAACCUCUGCAGGAAGUGGAGAGAAGUGGUUUGCAUCAGCUGCACCGUGUACAUUGUUUUCUCCUUGGUCAUCAGAUGCCAGGAGUUACAGUAAUCCAUCCUGGAAGUGACAAACAUAUGACACCACAUGGCAUGAUCCUGUGGGAAGAAGGGUGGAAUUUCCUAUGGGUGCAAAUGCGUCAAGAAAAAGGACAUUUUUUUAAGUCUGAACACCCUUCCUGGCUGUCCCAGGUUAGUGAUGUAUGAGGCUUCUCAUCUUUUCACUAAUUUUCUUCAUUCUUACAGUUUUAUUGUAUUUUUAUUUAUUUAUUUGUUUGUUUGUUUGUUUGUUGAUUGCAGUAGGAAUCACUUCCACAUACAGAAGACCAGGAUUUUUUUUUUUUUUUAAUGUAUGUAUCUUUAAUUUAUUAAUUAGGUACAUGUUACAUUUGUUGUUUGUACCCUUGUUCCUCACAGUCCCAUAUCUGUUAGGAUAUAAUCAGAAGAAAAAAAAAAUAAACAAGGUUUACAAUGAAAAUCUGUACUUCUUUGAUGGAGGUCAUUGAUAUGGAAGCUAUCCUCUUAGAGACAGGAUUAAGGUUUUAAAGCUAGAAGGGACAUUAUUAAUUCCUGAUCUGAGAACUUCUGGACAAUCUCUUCCCCAGACUAUCU
ensembl:lncRNA